rnacentral:rRNA from 1 species
AUACAGAGGGUGCAAGCGUUAAUCGGAAUUACUGGGCGUAAAGCGCGCGUAGGCGGCUUGGUCAGUCAGAUGUGAAAUCCCCGGGCUCAACCUGGGAACUGCAUUUGAUACUGCUGAGCUAGAAUGUGGUAGAGGGAAGGGGAAUUCCAGGUGUAGCGGUGAAAUGCGUAGAUAUCUGGAGGAACAUCAGUGGCGAAGGCGCCUUCCUGGACCAACAUUGACGCUGAGGUGCGAAAGCGUGGGUAGCAAACAGGAUUAGAAACCCUAGUAGUCC